UACGUAGGUGGCAAGCGUUAUCCGGAAUUAUUGGGCGUAAAGCGCGCGUAGGCGGUUUUUUAAGUCUGAUGUGAAAGCCCACGGCUCAACCGUGGAGGGUCAUUGGAAACUGGAAAACUUGAGUGCAGAAGAAGAAAGUGGAAUUCCAUGUGUAGCGGUGAAAUGCGCAGAGAUAUGGAGGAACACCAGUGGCGAAGGCGACUUUCNUGGUCUGUAACUGACGCUGAUGUGCGAAAGCGUGGGGAUCAAACAG
rnacentral:rRNA from 1 species